GGCACCUUUUGAUGAGCCGUUUUGUCCUACAAAUAGCCCUGUUAAUCCUCUUCAUUUACCCUCAAACCUCACAGAACGAGCGCCACCAGGCUGCUCGAAUUUAAUCUCGCAAGUCUGCGGUACCGACGACUUCCCGGGACGAUUCCGCGACGACGCUAUAAUCGACUGUAGUCUCCGGCGAGCGGUUUCCGGCAAACUACUGCACCCCGACGUCCGUGACUUCGCCGUCGAGUUCCCCUUACGAAGACGAGCUCCGCCGUCCGCUACACCAUCGCCAACAAGCACGGGAACAUCAACCGCAGCGACCACGACCACAUGUUCCAGUGACCUGUGCUUCCAUACAUUGUUUGGAUUAUCAAGAGUGCUUUUGUGACGAGUGCACCAAUCCCUCUCCUCAUCACCAAGGCAA